rnacentral:rRNA from 1 species
GGGAUGACACAGUAGGAUAAGCUAAGCACACUGUUGGUUAUGUGUGCCCAAGCAUUGAGGCAGUCAAAGUAGGCAAAUCCGCUUUGAUAAUGCUGGGAUGUGAUGGGGAGCGAAAUUUAGUAGCGAAGUAGCUGAUUUCACACUGUCAAGAAAAGUCUCUAUCGAGGUUAAAGGUACCCGUACCGCAAACCGACACAGGUGGGUGAGGAGAGUAUCCUAAGGCCAGCGAGAGAACUGUUGUUAAGGAACUCGGCAAAAUGACCCCGUAACUUAGGGAUAAGGGGUGCCACCAUCAGGUGGCCGCAGAGAAUAGGCCCAAGCGACUGUUUACCAAAAACAUAGGUUUCUGCUAAGUCGCAAGACGAUGUAUAGGAGCUGACGCCUGCCCGGUGCUGGAAGGUUAAGGGGAUCUGUUAGAGCAAUCGAAGCAGUGAACUUAAGCCCCAGUAAACGGCGGCCGUAACUAUAACGGUCCUAAGGUAGCGAAAUUCCUUGUCGGGUAAGUUCCGACCCGCACGAAAGGCGUAACGAUUUGGGCACUGUCUCAACAACAGACUCGGUGAAAUUGUAAUUCCGGUGAAGAUGCCGGAUACCUGCGACAGGACGGAAAGACCCCAUGGAGCUUUACUGUAGCUUGACAUUGGGUCUUGGUACUACAUGUACAGGAUAGGUGGGAGGCUUUGAAACCAGGACGCCAGUUUUGGCGGAGCCAUCCUUGGGAUACC